ACACAUGCAAGUCGAACGAAGCAUCUUACCGGAUUCUUCGGAUGAAAGUUUGGUGACUGAGUGGCGGACGGGUGAGUAACGCGUGGGUAACCUGCCCUGUACAGGGGGAUAACAGCUGGAAACGGCUGCUAAUACCGCAUAAGCGCACGAGGAGACAUCUCCUAGUGUGAAAAACUCCGGUGGUACAGGAUGGGCCCGCGUCUGAUAGCUGGUUGGCAGGGUAACGGCCUACCAAGGCAACGAUCAGUAGCCGGUCUGAGAGGAUGAACGGCCACAUUGGAACUGAGACACGGUCCAAACUCCUACGGGAGGCAGCAGUGGGGAAUAUUGCACAAUGGGGGAAACCCUGAUGCAGCAACGCCGCGUGAGUGAAGAAGUAUUUCGGUAUGUAAAGCUCUAUCAGCAGGGAAGAUAAUGACGGUACCUGACUAAGAAGCUCCGGCUAAAUACGUGCCAGCAGCCGCGGUAAUACGUAUGGAGCAAGCGUUAUCCGGAUUUACUGGGUGUAAAGGGUGCGUAGGUGGCAGUGCAAGUCAGAUGUGAAAGGCCGGGGCUCAACCCCGGAGCUGCAUUUGAAACUGCUCGGCUAGAGUACAGGAGAGGCAGGCGGAAUUCCUAGUGUAGCGGUGAAAUGCGUAGAUAUUAGGAGGAACACCAGUGGCGAAGGCGGCCUGCUGGACUGUUA
rnacentral:rRNA from 1 species